ACCUUGGCUAUAGACUGCUUACU
rnacentral:miRNA from 1 species